rnacentral:lncRNA from 1 species
AGUCUGGCGCACGGCUUCAGGGGAGAUUGGCAGCUGGGUCAAACAAAGUCCUUCCAUUGGCUCCCUUCCCAGGCAGCUUCUGCUAGUGUUUAGGUACUAGUGCAGUGUAGAACCCUUUUCUCAGGCAAAACCUAACAUCUGACCGCACCCUUUUUGCUAUUAAAAAAAAAAAAAAGCUUCUAUUUUUUUCCUCCUGUCGUUAAGAUAAAUUCUCCAGUAGACAACCUCUCCCACUAAUUGUGUAUUAGCAACGUAUUUUAUCUUGAGAGCUUGUACACUGGGCUCUCAACGUGGUGUGGAAGGUAGCCUGUUACAGUGCUGGAUUCAUAAAAGGGCCUUUAUGGUUUGUGAAAGAAUAUCUGUGUGCUUAGGGAGGAAACUUUUUGAUCUGCAGAAAAGCCAGAAGACAUCUAGGACAUCCAUAAAAAUUCAUCAGAGAGCAUUUUACUACUGAGCUGCAAAGGGAAAAACUUAAAAUGGAUAUGAAAAGUGAAGAAAGUGAUCAUAGGAGAAAACCAUUUCAGAUGACAAGAGCACCUCAAAGGCAGCAGCCUCAAGGAGCAGCCAUGGCCCCAGACUUGUCGCACGGAUGCAGAAAACUUAAUGGAGGAGGCUGAGGUUGUGGAAAAUGCACUAGAAUCAACAAACAUGGGGACUAAUUCAACUCGGAUAUCAUGUCUUCAGAGAAGUUUCUCCUGCCCUCCUCUCCCUGUAGAAUUAAGUAUUCUUCCACUGUGCCACCCUCUAACUUGUGCUCAUAUCUUCCUCUAUUGUAGUUAUGUGUUCACAUCCCUGUUGUUUUUGUACCGGCUUCUCCCAAAGGGAGACAUUUAGUCUUAUUCUUCUUGGUAACUUUAGCACAGACCUGGCAGAUUGUUGACACUCAACAAAUGUUUAUUGACUCAAAUGCAUUCAGUUGAACAUUGACCUUUGAUCAACUCUGGGAAAAGUCUGCAAAGCUAGUUAGGACAUUCAGAAAUUCAUUUCAUUUCAAUCCUAACUAAAUAAAUUAUUGAAGUCUCAGAA